GGGUGCUCGAGUGGCGAACGGGUGAGUNACACGUGGGUGAUCUGCCCUGCACUUUGGGAUAAGCCUGGGAAACUGGGUCUAAUACCGGAUAGGACCAUCGUUUAGUGUCGGUGGUGGAAAGUUUUUUCGGUGUGGGAUGAGCUCGCGGCCUAUCAGCUUGUUGGUGGGGUAAUGACCUACCAAGGCGUCGACGGGUAGCCGGCCUGAGAGGGUGUACGGCCACAUUGGGACUGAGAUACGGCCCAGACUCCUACGGGAGGCAGCAGUGGGGAAUAUUGCACAAUGGGCGCAAGCCUGAUGCAGCGACGCCGCGUGGGGGAUGACGGCCUUCGGGUUGUAAACUCCUUUCGCCAAGGACGAAGCGUUAUGUGACGGUACUUGGAGAAGAAGCACCGGCUAACUACGUGCCAGCAGCCGCGGUAAUACGUAGGGUGCGAGCGUUGUCCGGAAUUACUGGGCGUAAAGAGCUCGUAGGUGGUUUGUCGCGUCGUUUGUGGAAUACCGCAGCUUAACUGUGGGGUUGCAGGCGAUACGGGCAUAACUUGAGUGCUGUAGGGGAGACUGGAAUUCCUGGUGUAGCGGUGGAAUGCGCAGAUAUCAGGAGGAACACCGAUGGCGAAGGCAGGUCUCUGGGCAGUAACUGACGCUGAGGAGCGAAAGCAUGGGUAGCGAACAGGAUUAGAUACCCUGGUAGUCCAUGCCGUAAACGGUGGGCGCUAGGUGUGAGUCCCUUCCACGGGGUUCGUGCCGUAGCUAACGCAUUAAGCGCCCCGCCUGGGGAGUACGGCCGCAAGGCUAAAACUCAAAUGAAUUGACGGGG
rnacentral:rRNA from 1 species